rnacentral:rRNA from 1 species
GAUGAACGCUGGCGGCGUGCCUAAUACAUGCAAGUCGAGCGAACAGACGAGGAGCUUGCUCCUCUGACGUUAGCGGCGGACGGGUGAGUAGCACGUGGAUAACCUACCUAUAAGACUGGGAUAACUUCGGGAAACCGGAGCUAAUACCGGAUAAUAUAUUGAACCGCAUGGUUCAAUAGUGAAAGACGGUUUUGCUGUCACUUAUAGAUGGAUCCGCGCCGCAUUAGCUAGUUGGUAAGGUAACGGCUUACCAAGGCAACGAUGCGUAGCCGACCUGAGAGGGUGAUCGGCCACACUGGAACUGAGACACGGUCCAGACUCCUACGGGAGGCAGCAGUAGGGAAUCUUCCGCUAUGGGCGAAAGCCUGACGGAGCAACGCCGCGUGAGUGAUGAAGGUCUUCGGAUCGUAAAACUCUGUUAUUAGGGAAGAACAAAUGUGUAAGUAACUAUGCACGUCUUGACGGUACCUAAUCAGAAAGCCACGGCUAACUACGUG